AUUUGCCAUGCAUUGUGCCAAAUCACGCAAUAGUUUUUGCAAAGCCAGGGACUGUACAGAAAUCACCAAACUCAUGUCACUUGUGAGCUGCAGUACAAUAACAUGUUAGCUUUAAGUAGGUUACAGUCGCAGUCUUGUGAGAUGAGAAUGAAUACUUUGGAACUCUGACCUGCAAAUCUCAAAAAUUAUGGGGAGGUAUGAGAAAAGACCAUUUCACAUACCUCAAGUUUUUUAAUACAUAUAUUAAAUUAUUCUUAUAAAUGUGAACCACAAAAUGUGAGUAUUAUGCAUAAAUAAAUACAGAAACGUACGCAUACAGAUCUACACUCACACAUACAUAUGUUGUGACUUUCUCCUCUUUUCCCUUGCCUUGAACUUCCUCCUUUAAUGUGCCCUAAUGGUGGAGUGACAGUCAUCAGAUCUAAAGAAAUUUAGUGCUGUGUGAAACCUUGGAAUAGUGACGUCUGUUGUAUUUGGACAGUUUUGUUUGUCUACUGGGAAAUUGCAUGAACUUCCCAAUUUUUAUUUUUUUUUCAAGUUUGCAUUGCCCUCCUCCUCCCCACCCAAGGCAGGGUAGCUUCAGGAGAAAUGGCUGCUUUCUUGCUUUCUGGUGUGGUGUAAAGUUUUCCGUCGAGAGACAAUAAUGUACAUUCCUCUGGCAGGACGGGAUGGAUUUUUUUGUUUCUCUUGCUGUUGUUUAUUUAUAAGACAUUUCCUCUUGCUUAGUGGAAGUUUGAUCGUAAGAGGCUCCAGUGAUUUUCCUUCCCACCUCUCCCCUCCCUAAUUUCUCUGCCUCGGCACUCGCUCUGGAACAGAGCGAACUCAAAAAGCCCAUCGGCGCAGGGCGCGCUUCCGAUCUGAACUCAAAAAGCCCAUCGGCGCAGGGCGCGCUUCGCAGCCAAGCCCUGCCACUCUCCAGAGACUGUGAGGUGAUUCUCCUUCGUCACUGCUUGGACCAGGAACCACAGCCCUGCAGUGGUUGGCAGUUUUCCUCAACUUUGCGAGAGAGAGAGAGAUUUUGUUGGAAUGAAACCUUGCUCUGCGUACAGCCUGCUUGAGAUGCAGCACUGAAAGGCUUUGGAGACAACUGCUGAUAAUAAAUGAGGAGAGGUUUUCCUUCACUUCAAAAGAUGGCUGUCUUGCUUUUGGGUCCUGAGGUUCUUCAACGAAUCUUGCACUGAGAUGAAUUCUUCAGAAAACAGGAUCAUCCUUCAUUUGGCAUUUACUCACUCAAUUACCUUCCUGCAUUUUGUCCAGGCCACAUUAGACUUUUCAUGUUUUAUUUGUUCUUGCCAGACCACAUUUAUUCAUUAGCUGUAUUUAUUGUAGGUAUGGUUGACACUGCACUUUUAUUGCAAGCCCCCUAUCUUUGGUGGUUUAUAACUUUCUGAAGCAAUUACCUUUUUGGCUGAAAUUUCUCAAGCUUGUUCUAAGCUCAGAGGUGAAUAAUGUUUCAGUAAGGUUGAAAAAAAUCCAUUAGCCAUUUAUGAGGACUAGAUGUUCCAAUAAACGUAGGUGCAUUUAUUUUUUGAUGACCUACUUAUUCCAAUAAAAUACAUUAUUAUUCUGUUUUCUUCUGUUUUAAAUUAUGUUGUCUUUUAAAAGAGAAUGAGGACGUUUUAUACAGAUUUUUAGAUAGGCUUCAAGCAAGGUUUGUUCACCUGCAAUUUUGUGCAGGCAAGCACACUUGUUUGCUGCACUGAGCUCACAAACAGGACUGUUUAUGGGUGCAAAAGCUUUUGGAGUUCAGCACAUUGUUCUCUGCAGGAAAACAACAGCUCAGUCCCCUGUGAUUCUGGUGGAUAGCUGGCACUGCAUAUGCAAGUCUGCGCAGUGCAAGGCUAGAUAGACAAAAUGAGGUCGUCUUUUGAAUAUAGGUCUUUAGUUGUGCAAUGAUGCUAACUCAAUGUGAAGAUUCAGAUAUUGCUUGUGCAACAGUACACUGAAUGUACUUCUGCUGUCUUGCAGGCAUGGGAUACAAUUUUUCAUCAUGCUGUCCUGGACAAUGUGCAAUAAUUUGACAAGUGAUAAAGUCUUGUGCAAUUGAAAAGGCAAUGCUUUUUUUCUUCUUUUUUUAUUG
ensembl:lncRNA